ACAAAUCUUCAACAUUUUAUUAUGUAAUUUGUAAUUUAUAAAACUGUCUCAUAUAAAAAAUAUUAGUGUAUAAUUUUUUUUUCAAUAGAUAUGAAUAAUCCUAACUAUACUAUCUUUAAACCCUAUUUAUACCCUAACUAACCCCUAAAUUCUUAAAAUUCUACAAAUCUUCAACAUUUUAUUAUGUAAUUUGUAAUUUAUAAAACUGUCUCAUAUAAAAAAUAUUAAUGUAUAAUUUUUUUUAAAAGAUACUGAAAAUCCUAAUUAUACUAUUGUUAAACCCUAUCUAAACCCUAAUUAACCCCUAAAUUCUACAAAUUCUCCAAAAUCUCCAAAAUCUAUUAUUCCCUCCAACAUUUUAGAGCCCAAACCCAAUUCCCUCCAACAUUUUGGACCCCAAAACCCAUUUUCCCACACUUAGCAUUUUUUAUCUUUUGUUUCCUUAAGAAAGUCGUAACCUUUCUCUAAGUCCUCACCUCUCUCACCUCUCGUCCCUCACCUCUGUCUCCUUCGAUCUCUCUUCUAGCUCUCUCUUCCAUGGCUGCUUCUACCGGAAACACAACUAACGACCGUCGUCGUCCUCGCCCUCCUAGCUUGACUCUUCCAGGUCCUCGUCUCUCAUCUCUGUCUGUUUCGAUUUCUCUCUUUCUCUCUUAUCUCUUUGUUUCUCUCUUUUCAUUUUGUGUUUCUCUCUUCCAGUUAGGGUUUCGUUUUUCAAUCGCCACACCUAGAUUUUCCUGUUCUAGGAUUUCGAUUUCGAUUUGGGUUUCAAGUUAUGGUUAGGGUUUUGAUUUGGGAUUAUGGUUUGCUUUCGGUUUUGAUUUGAGAUUACGGU
rnacentral:lncRNA from 1 species